rnacentral:rRNA from 1 species
AGCCUGAACGCUGGCGGCGUGGUUAAGACAUGCAAGUCGCACGGUGUAGCAAUACACAGUGGCGAACGGGUGAGUAAUGAAUCGCUAAUGUGCCCCGGACUCUGGGAUAGCUAGCCGAAAGGUUAGGUAAUACCAGAUGACAUAUCCCUACCGCAUGGUCGGGGAUCUCAAAGGUCCGCCGGUCUGGGAGCAGGCGAUUUCGUAUCAGCUAGUUGGUGAGGUAACGGCUCACCAAGGCGACGACGCGUAGCCGGACUGAGAGGUUGGCCGGCCACAUCGGGACUGAGACACUGCCCGGACUCCUACGGGGGGCUGCAGUAACGAAUCUUCCCCAAUGCACGAAAGUGUGAGGGAGCGACGCCGCGUGUGGGACGAAGUCCUUCGGGAUGUAAACCACUGUCAGGGGAUACCAAGUUCUGAGGAUCCCCGAGAGGAAGAGGCGGCUAACGUCUGCGCCAGCAGCCGCGGUAA